rfam:Medicago truncatula strain A17 chromosome 5, whole genome shotgun sequence.
CUCCGUACUAAGAGUAUUUCCCUUUUGUUUUUGUGUAGUAUCUAUUGUUAUCAGUUUAAUAUCUGAUAUGUGGGACAAUGGUCCACACGAUAUUAAAUUUAUUUCUUGAGGGGUAGAGUCCACCAAAGUAGCUUGCUAUUGGAUCUCUCCCGCGUCGUUUUGCGUUGUACUAUAGCAAUUGUCUGGUGCACCCCAC